GCUGGGCAUGGUGAUGUUUGCCUGUAAUCCCAGUGACUUGGGAGGCUAAGGCAAGAUGAUUGCAAGUUUGAGGUGAGUGUCAGCAACUUAGUAGAGCCCUAAGCAACUUAGUGAGACCCUGUCUCAA
rnacentral:sRNA from 1 species